rnacentral:rRNA from 1 species
UACGGGGGGGGUAAGCGUUGUUCGGAAUUACUGGGCGUAAAGGGCUCGUAGGCGGCCAACUAAGUCGGACGUGAAAUCCCUCAGCUUAACUGGGGAACUGCGUCCGAUACUGGAUGGCUUGGAUUUGGGAGAGGGAUGCGGAAUUCCAGGUGUAGCGGUGAAAUGCGUAGAUAUCUGGAGGAACACCGGUGGCGAAGGCGGCAUUCUGGACUACAACUGACACUGAGGAACGAAAGCCAGGGGAGCAAACGGG